rnacentral:rRNA from 1 species
GGACAAUGGGGGAAACCCUGAUCCAGCCAUCCCGCGUGUGUGAUGAAGGCCUUCGGGUUGUAAAGCACUUUUGGCAGGAAAGAAACGUCAUGGGUUAAUACCCCGUGAAACUGACGGUACCUGCAGAAUAAGCACCCGGCUAACUACGUGCCAGCAGCCGC